AGCAGCCGCGGUAAUUCCAGCUCCAAUAGCGUAUAUUAAAGUUGUUGCAGUUAAAAAGCUCGUAGUUGAAUUUCGGGGUUAGUAGGUUGGUCAUGCCUCUGGUAUGUACUGGUCUCACUGAUUCCUCCUUCCUGAUGAGCCGUAAUGCCAUUAAUUUGGUGUUGCGGGGAAUUUGGACUGUUACUUUGAAAAAAAUUAGAGUGUUUAAAGCAGGCUCACGCUUGAAUACAUUAGCAUGGAAUAAUGAAAUAGGACGUUUGAUUCUAUUUUGUUGGUUUCUAGGACCGAUGUAAUGAUUAAUAGGGAUAGUUGGGGGCAUUAGUAUUCAAUUGUCAGAGGUGAAAUUCUUGGAUUUAUUGAAGACUAACUACUGCGAAAGCAUUUGCCAAGGAUGUUUUCAUUAAUCAAGAACGAAAGUUAGGGGAUCGAAGACGAUCAGAUACCGUCGUAGUCUUAACCAUAAACUAUGCCGACUAGGGAUCGGAUGAUGUUAAUUUUUUUAAUGACUCAUUCGGCGCCU
rnacentral:rRNA from 1 species